rnacentral:rRNA from 1 species
AUGGACGGACGCGCUGAUGGGGACCUGAUGGAGACAGAGAAGGACCACGAGGAGGUGGCGUGGGUCGACCCUGGCGGUUGGCUCCUCCUCCAGAACCACGUGGUAGGAGAGGAGGCACAAGGACUGCUUCUUCUCAGGAUGCCGCAUCCAGGGAGCUCCGACCCUACCGCCGCUGUCAUCCAUGGAGCUCUGACCCAUGGCCAAGAACUCAAGGUAGGUUCAGACAUAGAGCCACUGUGGGGAUUCCUUCCAGUCCGACGCCACUUGGCUUCUGCUCCGGUGCCCCCGUUCUUCUUCCAAUCCAGCAAGAUGGUGCACAACAGAGCCGGCUGUGUGUGGAGUGCGCGGGAAGAUUCUUCUUCCACUCCGGCAGUCUGGUGUUAG